rfam:Homo sapiens chromosome 1, GRCh38 reference primary assembly.
UAUUAGGUUGGUGCAAAUGUAAUUGUGGUUUUUGCCAUUAAAAGUGAUAGCAAAAACCGCAAUUACAUUUGCACCAACCUAAUA